rnacentral:lncRNA from 1 species
GCGCCGCUGGGCUUCGACUGGGUUUUCCAGCCGUUUGGCCGGUGGUUUGGCUCCGAUUUGGCCAUAGGCGGACUCAGCAUCGAAAAACGAGCAGGGAGGAGAAAAUUUACCUCAAUCGGCGGUCGAAAACUUCCCCGGUGCGGCGGCGGGUGGCGGCGGCCGGCUCCUCCGGCGUCUGGUUCUUCUUCUCCGGCGAGGCACUGG